GCUGGACAUGGUAGUGUGUGUCUGUAACCCCAGAGACUCAGGAGGCUGAGGCAGGAGGAUCACAGGUUUAUAGCCACCCUGAGCAACUUAGUGAGACCCUGUCUCAA
rnacentral:sRNA from 1 species